AGGGAGAAUCUGAGUAGGCGAAAGUGGACCAAAUCGAAACCUAGUACACCGAGACUGUAAUGCUGGAAUGAUCUUGCUAAGGUAGACGACGUCGCACAGUCGCCGGCCCCGGUAACCCGAGUAAAUAUCGCGGACAUACUUAACACUCGGGCCAAGGUUUCGAGUGUUUCCUGAAGAAAUUAGCCGGAACGAGUCGGUGGAAAAUGGCGGCCGCCUGCCGACGCGCGAUAACCUCUUCGCCGGACGACUCGGAGCCUAUCGUGGGGGACUUGCGAAACCCAAGUGGAAACGGCGGAUGGACGCUUGGCGACCUCGGCGCGAAUCGUCCGCGGCAUAUCCACCGUUAUUUUCCCGGCCGGCGCGGAACGUGCGUGGGAUUUUUCUGAAAGGACGGGCCCGGGUGCACUUUCGCCGAAGCUCGUCCGAAUCCUGGGGGAAGGACGAAGGUCGGCACGGCAGGAACGGACUUAUCGACGGCAGGACUCGUCAGGACUCCCUUACGCAUCGGCGAGAGGCAUUCCAUCGGUAAAGGUUCAUACCGAGCCAGGAUAAGGCUUUCCUCGAGGAAUCGCUGCGUCGAAGGACCUCGACUCCUUACCGCGCGAGUUCACCGACGACGUGGCACACUUGAUCAUUUUUCUCACGGCUCGCAAGAAGUUCGAGGUCCACGGGGGUUUCCGGAGCAGGUUUCGGAAAAUGGCGAGAAACCGCAACGUCGGUUGGGGCGCGACUGAAAGGAAAAUUUGGAGGACAACGAGGCGGAAUAACGACCCCCUAUUGAAGGCACUCGUAAAUUUCCUCGGCAGGGUGGCGGGACUCCCUCGACCGUGGAAGGACCGGCGAACCAGGAACCCGCCGGGACGACGACGAAACCGCAGAUCCGGAGUUACAGGCCACGAGCGACCCGGUGGAUCGCCGAAGGCGGAGGGCAAACACCGAGGGCGUUCUUCCGACCAAAGCUGGUAGCGCCGAGACUGCUCCGGUCUGUGAAAAGGGGAAGAAGGGAAAGCUGCAGGAUCGAGAGGUCCAGGGAGACGACGAGGAAGCGAAGGAAGGGAGGAUGGAGACCAUCCGAGGCGAUCGAUCGAACAGGCCGCCCCCAAUGGUCGCGAUAACUCGCGAGGGCGCGUAUCAGGGAUCGCGAUAACCACCUCGAACUUCCACGAACCACUCGCUGCGGAGAGGCUUCCUUAUGUCGUUCUCGGAAGGAGGACUCGAGAGAGGAAGAGAGAGGGCAAGACCCCUCGAACCCUCGGCUGUAACGAGCCUCGCCGGACCUGUUCUGCCGAUCGUGUCGUGAUAACGCUGACGCGGAUAAUUCGAAGCUCCGGGCCCAACGGGACGGACGUAACCUCGCCCUGAUCCUCGACCGACUCUCCGCUCUCGUGAAUCCCGAUUCCCGUUUUUCCCCUCUGUUCGCGGCACACCAUUUACCAUUUACCAUUUACCUUUUUCGCUGCGCCCACGUGUACCCGCGGGAACGGGACUUGAAAUAGUGCUUUUUGACUCGACAGCCGGUUAAAAUCUUCCUCAAGGAAAAUUGCUUCGAGGGAGAGAUAACCCGAUCGCCGCGAUAGAUACGGUCUUAAUCGAAUUUCUGAUUAAUUAUCCUCGGGAUGCUCCAUCAUCGAAUUACGUGACCAGGGUGCUUCGCCUUCCUGCAUGUAGGCAAAAGUGCUUUCGUGACGUUCGCCUUAUCGGGCCGCGUCAUGAAUCCCGAUUUCCACGAGAAAUCGAAGCAUCUUCGAGUGGAGCCCGGUGACACGGUCGGUGAUAAUUCCGAUAACGAGGACAAAGCUUUAGUGUGCGGGGACGAUACGGGGGAGGACAUCGAUUCGUUGUAGUCGAUUAUCUGCUGCGAGAAAAUAAGGAAGCGGAUCAAGGGGAGACUUACUUCGAGGCCUCCGCACAACGGAUGCCUUUUUCGCGUUAUCGGAGGCAUUUAAUUGAUAUUGGGGAUAACGCCGCGACAUCUAAUCGCAGAUCCGAACCGGAGCCAAACAAGGCUCGAGCAAUCGGCGUUAUCGCGUGAUCGAUCCCCAGGAGAUCCUCUCGAUAUGCGGAAUCGAUCGGUCGAUCGAUCGCUUAUCGGCCGCGUUCCUUUUUCUCUCCCUCGGUUAUGUCGAUGUCGUCAGGUUGCACUCAUUGCGCGUGUACUCGAGUACUCUAAUACAUGACGUUAGGGUUCACGGAUCGAUACCUUGAUCCGUGAUAUCCGCGUGUCAUCUCGAGAACCGGUAGACGAAUUACGUUUAAUUCAUGCCUCUCGGUGUGGCCGAUCACGCAUUAGAAAUAUAUUACCCUGUCUCGACAAGAUCAAAAGGUGGCGGAUCGCGCUCACGGGGAAAAAAGAAGUUGACCCCGUUAUCGUUGCGCGCACUUUGCAGCUUCGUUGCAACGAAGGUUCCUAGUGGUGUCGUAACGUCGGAAUGUCCAUGUGAUUUUUUAGCCGAAACUUUAUGUAACGCUAUGUAGAGAAAUUCCGUGGCAGGUCGUGCGGAAGAACGGGGGAUAAAUCGUUAUCCCCGGUUCCGCGGGUUUCACUUCCGCUCGCGUUAACGGACCACCUUGAUAAGAGAUGGCUCGCGUUAAUUUCGGCUUAUCAUUUGCGAAAGUCGCAGAAUUCUCGCAAAAUCUACAUGUCUGACGGACUAAUUUAUUCAUAUCCUCUAAUUAAGUAUUUCUGGAGCGUUUCCGAGGUACACGCGUUCGUGUUCGUCCGACACAAUAUGCUCCAUAUCGCGUAAGCUGCGCGUCGUUAGCUCGGAUAUAUAUUCCCGGAUCACCGGAAUAGAAAUAACGAGAGGCACUUUAUAACGCAUCCAAGUGUCGGCCGAGCUGAAUGACUUAAUAACAAAGAUAUUGCGAACGGGCAACGAUAUUCGAUUAUAGUCACUCGCCGAGUUCGUUGAACUCGCGAUAAACGUUGCGCUGCUUCCUGUUUAUCCGCGUAAACUUCGAGCAAUCACCGUCAUCUAUCGUUUCCUGGACCGUCACGCGCAUGCGCCAAAACCUGAAAAUAAUGUAUGUAAUAUCUGUAACCAAUGUGGAAUAAAUAG